rnacentral:rRNA from 1 species
AGUGAACGCUGGCGGUAGGCCUAACACAUGCAAGUCGAACGGCAGCACAGUAAGAGCUUGCUCUUACGGGUGGCGAGUGGCGGACGGGUGAGGAAUACAUCGGAAUCUACUUUUUCGUGGGGGAUAACGUAGGGAAACUUACGCUAAUACCGCAUACGACCUACGGGUGAAAGCAGGGGAUCUUCGGACCUUGCGCGAUUGAAUGAUCCGAUGUCGGAUUAGCUAGUUGGCGGGGUAAAGGCCCACCAAGGCGACGAUCCGUAGCUGGUCUGAGAGGAUGAUCAGCCACACUGGAACUGAGACACGGUCCAGACUACUACGGGAGGAAGCAGUGGGGAAUAUUGGACAAUGGGCGCAAGCAUGAUCCAGCCAUACCGCGUGGGUGAAGAAGGCAUUCGGGUUGUAAAGCCCUUUUGUUGGGAAAGAAAAGCAGCAGGUUAAUACCCCGCUGUUCUGACGGUACCCAAAGAAUAAGCACCGGCUAACUUCGUG